GUGGACAUGAGGGCCCCUGUGAAGCUCCUCAGCUUACUGCUACUCUGGCUCUCAGGUGCCAGGGGUGACAUCCAGUUGACCCAGUCUCCAUCCAUGCCUGCAUCUCUGGGAGAGAAAGUCACCAUCACUUGCAAAACCAAUCAAAAUAUUUACAAUGCGCUAUCCUGGUAUCAGCAGAAACCAGGGGAAGCUCCUAUGCUCCUGAUCUAUGGGGCCACCAAUUUAGAAACAGGGGUCUCUUCCCGAUUCAGUGGCAGUGGAUUUGACACAGAUUUCACUCUCACCAUCAGCAGCUUGGAGUCUGAAGAUGCUGCCACUUAUUACUGUCAACAGAAUUUUUUUACCCCUUCCACAGUGAUACAAGCCAGAACAUAA